rnacentral:misc_RNA from 1 species
GGUCGAUAAAACAACCAAGUUUUGGAAUAUCUAUUCCUUUAUUUGCUUGUGCAUCUUUCAUAACUGUGCUUGAAAUAAGGAGUUGUGUGCUAGAAAGAAACAUGGAGGUGCAUGUCUUUGAACACCGAAUAAACUUGCCUAAUGGUAUUGCAGUUUUUUGAAUUUGAAUUAAGGAUUUUUCUUAUCCAAAUUUGGUUUGUCAUAAAUCUAAGAUAUAAGAUAAAUAUAAGAUAUAAGAUAAAUCUAAGAUAUAAGAUAUAUAAAUUUAUUAAUUAAAUAUAUAAAUUU